rnacentral:rRNA from 1 species
GACGAACGCUGGCGGCGUGCUUAAUACAUGCAAGUCGAGCGGGGUUACUGCGACAGAUCCCUUCGGGGUGACGUUGCUUUAACCUAGCGGCGGACGGGUGAGUAACGCGUGGGUAACCUACCCUAAAGCUCGGGAUAACAGUGGGAAACCGCUGCUAAUACCGGAUGACUUUAACCUAUGGCAUCAUGGGUUAAAGAAAGAUUUAUCGCUUUAGGAUGGGCCCGCGUCCCAUUAGCUAGUUGGUGAGGUAACGGCUCACCAAGGCGACGAUGGGUAGCCGGCCUGAGAGGGUGUACGGCCACACUGGGACUGAGACACGGCCCAGACUCCUACGGGAGGCAGCAGUAGGGAAUAUUGCGCAAUGGACGGAAGUCUGACGCAGCGACGCCGCGUGAGCGAUGAAGGCCUUCGGGUCGUAAAGCUCUGUCCUUGGGGAAGAAGGUCUUCGGACUUGACGGUACCCAAGAAGAAAGCCCCGGCUAACUACGUGCCAGCAGCCGCGGUAAUACGUAGGGGGCGAGCGUUGUCCGGAAUUACUGGGCGUAAAGGGUGCGUAGGCGGCCCUUUAAGUCAGAUGUGAAAGGCCACGGCUUAACCGUGGGAUUGCAUUUGAAACUGGAGGGCUUGAGUGUCGGAGAGGGUAGUGGAAUUCCCAGUGUAGCGGUGAAAUGCGUAGAUAUUGGGAGGAACACCAGUGGCGAAGGCGACUACCUGGACGAUAACUGACGCUGAGGCACGAAAGCUAGGGGAGCAAACAGG